rnacentral:rRNA from 1 species
UACGAAGGGGGCGAGCGUUGUUCGGAUUUACUGGGCGUAAAGGGCGCGCAGGCGGCUCUGCAAGUCAGAUGUGAAAGCCCCGGGCUUAACCUGGGAACUGCAUUUGGGACUGUGGGGCUAGAGAUCGGGAGAGGAGAGUGGAAUUCCCAGUGUAGAGGUGAAAUUCGUAGAUAUUGGGAAGAACACCGGUGGCGAAGGCGGCUCUCUGGACCGAUACUGACGCUGAGGCGCGAAAGCGUGGGGAGCAAACAGGG